GCCCUGAUGGUCUAGCGGUAUGAUUCUCCCUUAGGGUCUGCAACGACACGUCUGGGAGAGGUCCCAGGUUCGAAUCCUGGUUAGGGCC